GGAACGGGGGACGUGGGGCAUUUAAUAAAAUAAUAGUCUGCAUUCACUAAUAUACUGUAAGGGAACAUUUAGAAAAAUAGCAAACAACCGAGCCCAUGAUCGCAUGCUCUUCACAAGCAUGUGGGGAAAUUGCUCGAAUCUCCCCCGCAAUUUCUCCAGUGUGGGAAAAUAUGGAGAGCAAAAUUGCAAAGCAGUUGAGGACACACAUUCCUAAGAGGAUAGAAGAGUGAAAUCAUAUGAUAUGAAAACUGAGAAGCUACACUAGUGGACACCAGCAAAAACAAGGCUUUCAUUUAUUUGGAAAAAGAAGAUCCAAAGAUCAUGCUAGCCAACGUUCCUCAACUCGACAGUACCUCAACCAAAACAAAUUAAUAUUAGGCCAUUGCACAUUUCUCCUGAUGGAGAAAGGCAAGCAAAACCCAAAAGAGACCAUGUUUGUGCAUUGGUGCAAAAUACCACAGAGUUUUGCUUAUCUUUGAGAAGCAGCAUCUGCAACAAUACUUAUUGCAUGUAGGCUAUCCCGACUCUGAUGCAACCCUGUGUCUUGGGUUAUUUUCUGCCACACGCUCUGCAAGUUUCCCCUCGAUUCACUCUUUCCGAUAUCCACAUGCAUCUUCGGGGGGAGAGAAUGGGAAACUCAUCAACGAAGUGCCGCUUAAAUGUCACGGAUUAUUUUACGGUCUGGGCCGUUACGGGAGAAAACAUUUUUUUUGUUCCUGUUUUCCCUGUUUUUCCUCUUCGCCAGUUAGUUCGCCCGGGUGCUAAGCCAGCUAUUCUCCAUUCAGUUAUUGUUGUCUUGGAUGGCAGUCGAGCUCCUUGCCAUCCAGGAGUUCUAUACCAGGUGGUGUCAGAGGAAGACCCUAAAAAUUGUCAAAGACUCCUGCCACCCAAGUCAUAGACUCUCUGCUACAGCACGGCAAGAAGCACCGGAGCGCCAAGUCUGUGACCAAAAGGCUCCUGAACAGCUCCUGAAUGAAAUGGCUACCCGGACUAUUUGCAUUGACCCAUUUUUUUUUGUACUGGAACUAUGCACACUCACUAAACUCUAUUUGGACAGUGACACAUUUAGUUUUGUUUUGUUUUGGCUCUGUACUCCAGCACUUUGGAUUUGAAAUUAUACUGUUAAAGUGUAGACUGUCAACUUUAAUUUGAGAGUAUUUUCAUCCAUAUCGAACUGUUUAGAAAUUACAGCACUUUUUGUACAUGGUCCUCCCAUUUUUGACGUAGUAGAACGUUAUUUGGUCCCAUAUUCAUAGCACACAAUGAUUAUGUCAUCUUGUGACUCUACAAAUUGGUUGGAUGCAUUUGCUGUUUGUUUUGGAUGUGUUUCAGAUGAUUUUGUGCCAAAUAGAAAUUAAUGGUAAAUAAUGUAUUGUGUCACUUUGGAGUCACUUUUAUUGUAAAUAAGAAUUGAAUAUACAGUACCAGUCAAAAGUUUGGACACCUACUCAUUCAAGGGUUGUAGGAUAAUUGUAGGAUAAUAGGAUAAUAGUGGAUAAUAGGAUAAUAGUGAAGACAUCACAACUAUGAAAUAUCACAAAUGGAAUCAUGUAGUAACCAAAAAAGUGUUCAACAAAUCAAAAAAUAUCUUAGAUUCUUCAAAGUAGCCACCAUUUGCCUUGAUGACAGCUUAGCACACUCUUGGAAUUCUCUAAACCAG
ensembl:lncRNA